AUUGAACGCUGGCGGCAGGCUUAACACAUGCAAGUCGAGCGGGGAUUGGGUGCUUGCACCUAAUCUUAGCGGCGGACGGGUGAGUAAUGCUUAGGAAUCUGCCAUUUAGUGGGGGACAACAUUCCGAAAGGGAUGCUAAUACCGCAUACGCCCUACGGGGGAAAGCAGGGGAUCUUCGGACCUUGCGCUAAAUGAUGAGCCUAAGUCGGAUUAGCUAGUUGGUGGGGUAAAGGCCUACCAAGGCGACGAUCUGUAGCGGGUCUGAGAGGAUGAUCCGCCACACUGGGACUGAGACACGGCCCAGACUCCUACGGGAGGCAGCAGUGGGGAAUAUUGGACAAUGGGCGGAAGCCUGAUCCAGCCAUGCCGCGUGUGUAAAGAAGGCCUUUUGGUUGUAAAGCACUUUAAGCGAGGAGGAGGCUACCUGGAUUAAUACUCUAGGAUAGUGGACGUUACUCGCAGAAUAAGCACCGGCUAACUCUGUGCCAGCAGCCGCGGUAAUACAGAGGGUGCGAGCGUUAAUCGGAUUUACUGGGCGUAAAGCGUGCGUAGGCGGCUGAUUAAGUCGGAUGUGAAAUCCCUGAGCUUAACUUAGGAAUUGCAUUCGAUACUGGUCAGCUAGAGUAUGGGAGAGGAUGGUAGAAUUCCAGGUGUAGCGGUGAAAUGCGUAGAGAUCUGGAGGAAUACCGAUGGCGAAGGCAGCCAUCUGGCCUAAUACUGACGCUGAGGUACGAAAGCAUGGGGAGCGAACAGGAUUAGAUACCCUGGUAGUCCAUGCCGUAAACGAUGUCUACUAGCCGUUGGGGCCUUUGAGGCUUUAGUGGCGCAGCUAACGCGAUAAGUAGACCGCCUGGGGAGUACGGUCGCAAGACUAAAACUCAAAUGAAUUGACGGGGGCCCGCACAAGCGGUGGAGCAUGUGGUUUAAUUCGAUGCAACGCGAAGAACCUUACCUGGCCUUGACAUAGUAGAAACUUUCCAGAGAUGGAUUGGUGC
rnacentral:rRNA from 1 species